CAGCAGCCACGGGAAAACGGAGGGAGCUAGCGUUGUUCGGAAUUACUGGGCGUAAAGCGCACGUAGGCGGCUACUCAAGUCGGGGGUGAAAGCCCGGGGCUCAACCCCGGAACUGCCCUCGAAACUAGGUAGCUAGAAUCUUGGAGAGGUCAGUGGAAUUCCGAGUGUAGAGGUGAAAUUCGUAGAUAUUCGGAAGAACACCAGUGGCGAUGGCGACUGACUGGACAAGUAUUGACGCUGAGGUGCGAAAGCGUGGGGAGCAAACAGGAUUAGAUACCCCAGUAGUCCCUGUCUCUUAUAC
rnacentral:rRNA from 1 species